rnacentral:tRNA from 1 species
UGGUAAGUAGUUUAAACAAAACAAAUGAUUUCGACUCAUUAGAUUAUGAUAAACAUACUAACCAA